AACAUAGUUCCCGCGUCAACGAGAGUGAACUCGCAAUACAAGAUAAACGAGAAAUAAAACCGUCGUCGAAAGGGUAGGUCAGCGAUCCAAGUUACGUUUAAAGUUCGAUCCAGAAACGAGGAACCUGCAACGAUCGAGGACAGUACCUACUCACGAGACACGACAUUCUACGAGCACCUCUUAGAAAUUGGACAUGGAAAGACUUUCAGAAAGUUCUGCUAAAUAGUUAAUCGAUUCGACGAGUGGGCAGCUCGUACAUCAAACGACAAAGAGCGAUCGAGUGUCUCGGUAGAGUGAUUCGACAGAGGCGAUCGAUCGCGCACGAGUGAACAGAAAUUCUGAAAACAAGAGUUGGAAAAAAGAACCGCGAGCAGACGCCGUAUAAUGAACAGAAUUCACUCUAGCCCGGUCAUUUUCACUUCCGUGGAAAAGAAAAGGGAAAGUGCGCGUCGUUUCAGACCAAGAAGCCGUGCUUUACCGUACGUGUUUAUAACGCUCGGACAUCGUAGACCUACGUGAUCGUCUAUUUAACCAUGCUCUUGACGAAAUAAUGCUUUUUCAACGACAACUGUUUCUUGCAAAAUGAGUUCGAUUCCUGGAUCGGUUGGAGAUUUCGGGGCAUCGUUGAUCGUAUUCGUUGCUUUUUCACAGGACCAAGUGCGUCGAGGUCCAGGUAACACUGUUUACGGAGCGCACCAUAAAGACGCUCGAAAUUUGUCCAAGUCCAGCAACGUCACGCCAAGAUCACUCGAUUUCUCACAUCUUUCACAAAAUUUUAACAUGUAAGAAAUAAACUCCACAAAGUUGCUUUCAUAAAUAGUCUAUCGCGCGAAUCUCGCGGUUCGCAACUUUCGCGACUCUGAAUUCUCUAAUUUUGAGCGGGAAUUUUCAGUUGACUCGCGUAAGAGGGGAAAAAGUACGAGGAAACGUGAAAUUGGAGCGCACCUUUGACGCACGUGCACUUGGCCAUACAGUUGAUCAGAAAUCACGUGGUGGAAACUGCAAACUGGUUCGCGGAGGAACGACCUCCGAUUCCUGGAUAACGGAUGAGCUGACCUUCGAAAAUAUGGCGGCACUCGUGGACGGUCCGUGGCCACGAGUGUCGACUACACACUACACAGUACACUGGGAGUUGGGACCGGACUACUACGGUGCUAAGAUGAACCGAGUAAACGGUCCCGAGAGCUUAGCUCUAGGUAGGAGGAGCGCACUUAUACUUGGUUUCGAUCUUCCUCGAUCCAUUCUCUCCUCAACCUCGGAA